AGUGAACGCUGGCGGUAGGCCUAACACAUGCAAGUCGGACGGCAGCACAGUAAGAGCUUGCUCUUACGGGUGGCGAGUGGCGGACGGGUGAGGAAUACAUCGGAAUCUACUUUUUCGUGGGGGAUAACGUAGGGAAACUUACGCUAAUACCGCAUACGACCUACGGGUGAAAGCAGGGGAUCUUCGGACCUUGCGCGAUUGAAUGAGCCGAUGUCGGAUUAGCUAGUUGGCGGGGUAAAGGCCCACCAAGGCGACGAUCCGUAGCUGGUCUGAGAGGAUGAUCAGCCACACUGGAACUGAGACCCGGUCCAGACUCCUACGGGAGGCAGCAGUGGGGAAUAUUGGACAAUGGGCGCAAGCCUGAUCCAGCCAUACCGCGUGGGUGAAGAAGGCCUUCGGGUUGUAAAGCCCUUUUGUUGGGAAAGAAAAGCAGCAGGUUAAUACCCCGCUGUUCUGACGGUACCCAAAGAAUAAGCACCGGCUAACUUCGUG
rnacentral:rRNA from 1 species